AAAGACUCAGUAGCAGCACAGGCCUCGUUACAACCUUUCCAACACCUAGCUUAAUAGAAAACAGUAUAAAACAGUAGAAACAGCAAAAUAGUAUAAAAACAGUAGAAAACAGGGUAGCCUCUUCUGCUGCCUUUCAUUCAUGUAAUUCUGCAAACAUACUGCAGAAGAGUGUAAGCAGCAAAAUGCUGGUGUGGGUUCUUCUGUUUGUUUGUUUGGUUUUAGUUGAUGCUGUUUUUUUCUCCAAGUUUUAUCCACAGUUCAAACCUCUCCCUAGUCAGCAGGACCUGUGACAAGAAAAUGAAAUACAAAGAAUUUCACCUGUGUGCUGGAUUCAAGCAGAAAGCUGAGGCACGUCUCUGGGAAGAAAAACCAUUCAAAAUUCAGAAACUACAGACAACACAGCAGUGACUGGGAGAAAAUGAGAAAGCUGAUCUGAAAAUCUGAGCAAAACUUAUCACUUCAUUUUUCUGUUUCAGAUCUUGGAACUUGUCUCCUUGCUGUAGGAAUCAAGUCAUUUGUUAAGUCUAUGAUGAGGAGCGAAGAACUUAGAAAUCUGCUUCAAAUGUGGAAUUUCAUGGCUAUGUUCACCUAAACUUGCGUCUCUGCCCUGACAGAGUCUCUCUCAUGGUUCAGUACAGCACAGCUUGUCUCCACCAGCUACUGAAAUGCUGCUGCUCUGAGCAUGGAUAUAAGCUCCUGUUGGAGCAUAGUUGCUGGAGCAAACUGGUAAGAGGUGCUGGGUCUCAGUCUAGUGAUGGAGAAGCAGCAAUCCGGAGUCUGCACAGACUCAAGGAGUACUUAUACUUCAUAACACUAGAUAUGAAACAAAGAUGCCAGGCAAGCAUGUUAGUCUCCAGCUAGCUCCACCCACCCUCAUAGCAGCACAAAGCUCAAGAUCACCGUAUGGAAAAACAUUCUUCUGUCUCUUAUUAUAUAGCAGCUGAAGUUAGGUUAUCUGAACAGCAAGAUGAUUAUGUUUCCCUACUUGUUUAUUCACUGAAGUCAUAGGCAAUCCCAUCCUACAGAAGUCCAACAUCAGAAGCCUGGUUUCUGGAAACUGAUCAUGAGCAGAAUCAAGGCAGAUACCUGUCUGUCUGCCCAGAUGUACAACGAUGUUCUUGUCACCAGAAGUGAGAACGGAGAAAACUGCAAGCUCUGAUGUCUAAAGAGGAUUUUGCCAUGCAUAUGAAUAAUACUUAUAUUUCCACAGACAUGGCGAAGAAAUAUGAGAUUAUUUUCUAGUCAAUUGUCCAUGGAGACAAGUAAGUGUAAGAGAAAGCAGAGCUUUAUCUUU
rnacentral:lncRNA from 1 species